rnacentral:rRNA from 1 species
GGAAGUAAAAGUCGUAACAAGGUUUCUGUAGGUGAACCUGCAGAAGGAUCAUUAGUGAAAGCAAGGGCCAGCCAUACGGACGGCGCUACUCGCGUACAACGUCUCUGGCGCCCAACUUUACACAAUAUCCACAAACCCGUGUGCACCGUUUGGAUGAGUUGGACCUCGCAAGAGGCUCGGCUCUCCAAUCCAUUUCUACCAAACUCGUAUGGUUUGUAUGAACGUGGAAAUCGUUGGACCGUAACUGGCCAACAACCAAUAAUACAACUUUCGACAACGGAUCUCUUGGUUCUCCCAUCGAUGAAGAACGCAACGAAACGCGAUAGGUAAUGUGAAUUGCAGAAUUCCGUGAAUCAUCGAAUCUUUGAACGCACCUUGCGCUCCAUGGUAUUCCGUGGAGCAUGCCUGUUUGAGUGCCGUGAAUUCUCUCUCCCCAAGCGGUUGCGAUUGCACUGCUUUGGCGGACGAGGUUGGAUGGGUGCUUCUGCCUGUUUCGCAAGAAACAGGCUCGCCCGAAAUGCAUUAGCGCCUUUGGGACACACUCUGCAAACCGCUCUGAAAGGGAGGGCGGCAGAGGGGAUGGAGGAACUCCGCCCGUCAGCUAUACCAAACUUUGCCCCAGGCAAGCGCAUGGCAUGAUACGUCAUUUGCUGUGUGUGCGUCCUGAGGCAAGGGGCCGAUGUGGUGCCUUUGUCACUCUGUGGGUGUGUUGGCGCGCUACCAAUCCUGCGUGGAGGCUGGUCUGUGCGCAAGCAUGGAGCAGUUCUUGUGAACGCAUUCCCUUUUUUCAUUUCUGGUCUCAAAUCAGGUAGGAUCACCCGCUGAACUUAAGCAUAUCAAUAAGCGGAGGA